rnacentral:rRNA from 1 species
GACGAACGCUGGCGGCGUGCCUAAUACAUGCAAGUAGAACGCUGAAGAGAGGAGCUUGCUCUUCUUGGAUGAGUUGCGAACGGGUGAGUAACGCGUAGGUAACCUGCCUUGUAGCGGGGGAUAACUAUUGGAAACGAUAGCUAAUACCGCAUAACAAUGGAUGACACAUGUCAUUUAUUUGAAAGGGGCAAUUGCUCCACUACAAGAUGGACCUGCGUUGUAUUAGCUAGUAGGUGAGGUAACGGCUCACCUAGGCGACGAUACAUAGCCGACCUGAGAGGGUGAUCGGCCACACUGGGACUGAGACACGGCCCAGACUCCUACGGGAGGCAGCAGUAGGGAAUCUUCGGCAAUGGGGGCAACCCUGACCGGGCAACGCCGCGUGAGUGAAGAAGGUUUUCGGAUCGUAAAGCUCUGUUGUAAGUCAAGAACGAGUGUGAGAGUGGAAAGUUCACACUGUGACGGUAGCUUACCAGAAAAGGACGGCUAACUACGUGCCAGCAGCCGCGGUAAUACGUAGGUCCCGAGCGUUGUCCGGAUUUAUUGGGCGUAAAGCGAGCGCAGGCGGUUUGAUAAGUCUGAAGUUAAAGGCUGUGGCUCAACCAUAGUUCGCUUUGGAAACUGUCAAACUUGAGUGCAGAAGGGGAGAGUGGAAUUCCAUGUGUAGCGGUGAAAUGCGUAGAUAUAUGGAGGAACACCGGUGGCGAAAGCGGCUCUCUGGUCUGUAACUGACGCUGAGGCUCGAAAGCGUGGGGAGCGAACAGGAUUAGAUACCCUGGUAGUCCACGCCGUAAACGAUGAGUGCUAGGUGUUGGAUCCUUUCCGGGAUUCAGUGCCGCAGCUAACGCAUUAAGCACUCCGCCUGGGGAGUACGACCGCAAGGUUGAAACUCAAAGGAAUUGACGGGGGCCCGCACAAGCGGUGGAGCAUGUGGUUUAAUUCGAAGCAACGCGAAGAACCUUACCAGGUCUUGACAUCCCGAUGCUAUUUCUAGAGAUAGAAAGUUACUUCGGUACAUCGGUGACAGGUGGUGCAUGGUUGUCGUCAGCUCGUGUCGUGAGAUGUUGGGUUAAGUCCCGCAACGAGCGCAACCCCUAUUGUUAGUUGCCAUCAUUCAGUUGGGCACUCUAGCGAGACUGCCGGUAAUAAACCGGAGGAAGGUGGGGAUGACGUCAAAUCAUCAUGCCCCUUAUGACCUGGGCUACACACGUGCUACAAUGGUUGGUACAACGAGUUGCGAGUCGGUGACGGCAAGCUAAUCUCUUAAAGCCAAUCUCAGUUCGGAUUGUAGGCUGCAACUCGCCUACAUGAAGUCGGAAUCGCUAGUAAUCGCGGAUCAGCACGCCGCGGUGAAUACGUUCCCGGGCCUUGUACACACCGCCCGUCACACCACGAGAGUUUGUAACACCCGAAGUCGGUGAGGUAACCUUUUGGAGCCAGCCGCCUAAGGUGGGAUAGAUGAUUGGGGUG